GACGAACGCUGGCGGCGUGCUUAACACAUGCAAGUCGAACGAAGUGGGGAACGGGUGAGUAACGCGUAAUCAAACUGCCCUUCAGAGGGGGACAACAGUUGGAAACGAAUGCUAAUACCGCAUAAUGAAGGAGGGGAUUGCGUUUGAUUAGCUGGUUGGAGGGGUAACGGCCCACCAAGGCGAUGAUUAGUAGGCGGUCUGGGAGGAUGAACGGCCAAAUUGGGACUUAGAAACGGCCCAGACUCCUACGGGAGGCAGCAGUGGGGAAUCUUCCGCAAUGGACGAAAGUCUGACGGAGCAACGCCGCGUGGGUGAUGACGGCCUUCGGGUUGUAAAGCUCUGUUAAUCGGGACGCGGUACCGGAAUAGAAAGCCACGGCUAACUACGUGCCAGCCGCCGCGGUAAUAC
rnacentral:rRNA from 1 species